AUACGGAGGAUGCGAGCGUUAUCCGGAUUUAUUGGGUUUAAAGGGUGCGUAGGCUGUGCGUUAAGUCAGGGGUGAAAUGCCGUCGCUCAACGACGGAGCUGCCCUUGAUACUGGCGUGCUGGAGUACGGAUGCCGUUGGAGGAAUGAGUGGUGUAGCGGUGAAAUGCUUAGAUAUCACUCAGAACACCGAUUGCGAAGGCAUCUGACGAAUCCGUCACUGACGCUGAGGCACGAAAGCGUGGGGAUAGAACAGGAUUAGAUACCCUGGUAUUCCACGCCGUAAACGAUGAUGACUAACCGUCGGCGAUAGACAGCCGGUGGCCAAGCGAAAGCGAUAAGUCAUCCACCUGGGGUGUACGUCGGCAACGAUGAAACUCAAAGGAAUUGGCGGGG
rnacentral:rRNA from 1 species